rnacentral:rRNA from 1 species
GAUGAACGCUAGCUACAGGCUUAACACAUGCAAGUCGAGGGGUAACAAGAGGAAAGCUUGCUUUUCUUGUUGACGACCGGCGCACGGGUGAGUAACGCGUAUCCAACCUGCCUAUAACUAGGGAAUAACCUUGCGAAAGUAAGACUAAUGCCCUAUGAUUUCCUUUGAUGACAUCAGAUUAGGUAUAAAGAUUUAUCGGUUAUAGAUGGGGAUGCGUCUGAUUAGCUUGUUGGCGGGGUAACGGCCCACCAAGGCAACGAUCAGUAGGGGUUCUGAGAGGAAGGUCCCCCACAUUGGAACUGAGGCACGGUCCAAACUCCUACGGGAGGCAGCAGUGAGGAAUAUUGGUCAAUGGGCGGAAGCCUGAACCAGCCAAGUAGCGUGCAGGAUGACGGCCCUAUGGGUUGUAAACUGCUUUUAUACAGGGAUAAAGUUAGCCACGUGUGGUUAUUUGCAGGUACUGUAUGAAUAAGGACCGGCUAAUUCCGUGCCAGCCGCCGCUGUAA